CCUUAGCGGGUGUUGAACGCUAUUGGUCUUUAGCCACCAUAAUGGCAAAUUUUGGAUUGUAUUGUUUUGAUUUAUGUACAUAUGAGCAAAAGCUCAAGGGUGAAGGAGGCAACCUUAUUUAAAAGUCAAGGCAUGCCACUUAAUUAACCUACUAUUAUUACCACCACAGUUUUUGACUAUUUAUUACUACUGAUCAACUGUUAUAAAGACUUAUAUUUAAAAGUCAAGGCAUGCCACUUAAUUAACCUACUAUUAUUACCACCACAGUUUUUGACUAUUUAUUACUACUGAUCAACUGUUAUAAAGACUUAUUGUGUUUCGCUAAUAAUUACUGAG
rnacentral:lncRNA from 1 species